rnacentral:rRNA from 1 species
CCUAACACAUGCAAGUCGAACGGUAACAGGAAGAAGCUUGCUUCUUUGCUGACGAGUGGCGGACGGGUGAGUAAUGUCUGGGAAACUGCCUGAUGGAGGGGGAUAACUACUGGAAACGGUAGCUAAUACCGCAUAACGUCGCAAAACCAAAGAGGGGGACCUUCGGGCCUCUUGCCAUCGGAUGUGCCCAGAUGGGAUUAGCUAGUAGGUGGGGUAACGGCUCACCUAGGCGACGAUCCCUAGCUGGUCUGAGAGGAUGACCAGCCACACUGGAACUGAGACACGGUCCAGACUCCUACGGGAGGCAGCAGUGGGGAAUAUUGCACAAUGGGCGCAAGCCUGAUGCAGCCAUGCCGCGUGUAUGAAGAAGGCCUUCGGGUUGUAAAGUACUUUCAGCGGGGAGGAAGGGAGUAAAGUUAAUACCUUUGCUCAUUGACGUUACCCGCAGAAGAAGCACCGGCUAACUCCGUGCCAGCAGCCGCGGUAAUACGGAGGGUACAAGCGUUAAUCGGAAUUACUGGGCGUA